AGAGGGUGCGAGCGUUAAUCGGAUUUACUGGGCGUAAAGCGUGCGUAGGCGGCUUUUUAAGUCGGAUGUGAAAUCCCCGAGCUUAACUUGGGAAUUGCAUUCGAUACUGGGAAGCUAGAGUAUGGGAGAGGAUGGUAGAAUUCCAGGUGUAGCGGUGAAAUGCGUAGAGAUCUGGAGGAAUACCGAUGGCGAAGGCAGCCAUCUGGCCUAAUACUGACGCUGAGGUACGAAAGCAUGGGGAGCAAACAGGAUUAGAUACCCUGGUAGUCCAUGCCGUAAACGAUGUCUACUAGCCGUUGGGGCCUUUGAGGCUUUAGUGGCGCAGCUAACGCGAUAAGUAGACCGCCUGGGGAGUACGGUCGCAAGACUA
rnacentral:rRNA from 1 species